UCCGGAGGGUGCAAUCGUUAUCCGGAAUCACUGGGUUUAAAGGGUGCGUAGGCGGCACUGUAAGUCAGGGGUGAAAGGCUGCAGCUCAACUGUGGAAUUGCCUUUGAUACUGCGGUGCUAGAAUGAGAUUGAGGUAAGCGGGAUGUGGCAUGUAGCGGUGAAAUGCAUAGAUAUGCCAUAGAACACCAAUUGCGAAGGCAGCUUGCUAGAUCUAAAUUGACGCUGAGGCACGAAAGCGUGGGGAGCGAACAGG
rnacentral:rRNA from 1 species